AGCGAACGCUGGCGGCAGGCCUAACACAUGCAAGUCGAACGAACUCUUCGGAGUUAGUGGCGGACGGGUGAGUCACCCGUGGGAACGUUACCUUAGGUUCGGCAUAACUCUGGGAAACUUGUGCUUAUACCGAAUGUGCGCUUCGGGGGAAAGAUUUAUUGCCUUUGGUGCGGCCCUCGUCUGAUUCGAUUGUGGGGGAGGUUAUGGAUCAACAAGGGGACGAUUAGUAGCUUGUUAGAGAGACUGAUCAGCCACAGUGAGACUGAGACGCGGCCCGAACUCCUACGCGAUGCGGCAGUGCGGAAUCGAGCAAAAUGGGCUAAGGCCUGACGCAGCCAGGCCGCUAAAAUGAUGAAAGUCGUAGGAUUGUAAAAUGCUUUUACCUGGGACGAUAAUGACGGUACCCGGAGAAGAAGCCCCGGCUAACUACGUG
rnacentral:rRNA from 1 species